rnacentral:misc_RNA from 1 species
GGAAUAUUGCACAAUGGGCGCAAGCCUGAUGCAGCCAUGCCGCGUGUAUGAAGAAGGCCUUCGGGUUGUAAAGUACUUUCAGCGGGGAGGAAGGCGAUAAGGUUAAUAACCUUGUCGAUUGACGUUACCCGCAGAAGAAGCACCGGCUAACUCCGUGCCAGCAGCCGCGGUAAUACGGAGGGUGCAAGCGUUAAUCGGAAUUACUGGGCGUAAAGCGCACGCAGGCGGUCUGUCAAGUCGGAUGUGAAAUCCCCGGGCUCAACCUGGGAACUGCAUUCGAAACUGGCAGGCUAGAGGCUUGUAGAGGGGGGUAGAAUUCCAGGUGUAGCGGUGAAAUGCGUAGAGAUCUGGAGGAAUACCGGUGGCGAAGGCGGCCCCCUGGACAAAGACUGACGCUCAGGUGCGAAAGCGUGGGGAGCAAACAGGA